rnacentral:ncRNA from 1 species
UGAUAGAGGCGCGGACGCCAUCAGUACGCUCACCCGGCACCACAGGCAGGGGGCGGGCGGAAAGGGACGGCCGCCGAGGGAUCCGGACUGCUUGCCUGGCGGACGGAUACCCGGGCCACGGGAGAAGAUCCCCUGGACUGUCGCCGGGUCUUCCCGGCGGAGCGCUUUCAU